UACGAAGGGGGCUAGCGUUGCUCGGAAUGACUGGGCGUAAAGGGCGCGUAGGCGGAUGGUACAGUCAGACGUGAAAUUCCUGGGCUCAACCUGGGGGCUGCGUUUGAUACGUGCUGUCUGGAGUUCGGAAGAGGGUCGUGGAAUUCCCAGUGUAGAGGUGAAAUUCGUAGAUAUUGGGAAGAACACCGGUGGCGAAGGCGGCGACCUGGUCCGAUACUGACGCUGAGGCGCGAAAGCGUGGGGAGCAAACAGG
rnacentral:rRNA from 1 species